GCCGAGGUGGCGGAAGCUGGUAGACGCGCUAGCUUGAGGGGCUAGUGGGCGCAAGCCCGUGGGAGUUCAAAUCUCCCCCCCGGCACCA
rnacentral:tRNA from 1 species